rnacentral:rRNA from 1 species
CCUACGGGAGGCAGCAGUAGGGAAUAUUGCUCAAUGGGGGAAACCCUGAAGCAGCAACGCCGCGUGGAGGAUGAAGGUUUUCGGAUUGUAAACUCCUUUUGUUAGAGAAGAUAAUGACGGUAUCUAACGAAUAAGCACCGGCUAACUCCGUGCCAGCAGCCGCGGUAAUACGGAGGGUGCAAGCGUUACUCGGAAUCACUGGGCGUAAAGAGCGCAUAGGCGGGAUAGCAAGUCAGAUGUGAAAUCCUAUGGCUUAACCAUAGGACUGUAUUUGAAACUGUUAUUCUAGAGAAUGUGAGAGGUAGCUGGAAUUUUUGGUGUAGGGGUAAAAUCCGUAGAGAUCAAAAGGAAUACUCAUAGCGAAGGCGAGCUGCUAGAACAGAUCUGACGCUGAUGCGCGAAAGCGUAGGGAGCAAACGGGAUUAGAUACCCGAGUAGUC